rnacentral:rRNA from 1 species
GAUCAUUACUGAAUGUAUGGAGAAUGCUUGAUGCGGUCUCAAAAGGACCAGCUCGGCUCUCUAUUAUCCAAACAAACACUUGUGAACCCCCUAGAGAGAUCAGCGGAGGCGGAAAAUUAGUUUUCCGUCUUUCUUUUCUCUUGCUUUAAAAAACACUUUAUAAAUUUUGAACGUUUAUUGUGCCGUCAAAGGCCUUAAUCAUAUAUACAACUUUUAACAACGGAUCUCUUGGCUCUCGCAUCGAUGAAGAACGCAGCGAAAUGCGAUACGUAAUGUGAAUUGCAGAAUUCAGUGAAUCAUCGAAUUUUUGAACGCAUCUUGCGCCCUUUGGUAUUCCGAAGGGCACGCCUGUUCGAGUGUUGUGAAGCUCUCAACUUUGUGAAUUUUUAUUAGUUUGCAGAGUUGGAUUUGGGCAUUGCCGUCUUGCUUGAUUGCGAACGGCUGGCCUUAAAAGCAUUAGCUGGUUUCUUGUGGUUAUGCUCAGCGUGAUAAUUUCUGACCGUUGAGCGCAUUUCUUUGGAAAUGGCCCGGAGCGAACUGCUUCUAACUCGGGUUUAGACACCUAAUUUUCAACCUUUAACCUCGAAUCAGGCGGGACUACCCGCUGAACUUAAGCAUAUCANUAAGCGGGAGGAAAAGAAACUAACAAGGAUUCCCCUAGUAMCGGCGAGUGAAGCGGGAUGAGCUCAAAUUUAAAAUCUGGCAGUCUUCGAUUGUCCGAGUUGUAAUCUAGAGAAGCGUUUUCCGCGCUGGACUGCGUACAAGUUUCCUGGAUACGGAACAUCAUAGAGGGUGAGAAUCCCGUCCUUGACGCAGGCUACCAGGGCUAUGUGAUGCGCUCUCGACGAGUCGAGUUGUUUGGGAUUGCAGCUCAAAAUGGGAGGUAAAUUCCUUCUAAAGCUAAAUAUUGGCGAGAGACCGAUAGCGAACAAGUACCGUGAGGGAAAGAUGAAAAGCACUUUGGAAAGAGAGUUAAACAGUACGUGAAAUUGUUAAAAGGGAAACGAUUGAAGUCAGUCGCGUUUGCUUGGACUCAGCCUUACUUCGGUGGGGUGCAUUUCCUUGUAGACGGGCCAACGUCUAUGUUGCGAGCUGGAAAAUGGGCGGAGGAAUGUGGCUUCUUCGGGAGUGUUAUAGCCUCUGUUCGCAUGCAGCUUGGGAUAUAGAGUGGAACAGCCAUGCU